rnacentral:rRNA from 1 species
AACGUAGGAGGCGAGCGUUAUCCGGAGUAACUGGGCGUAAAGGGCGUGUAGGCGGUUGGGUAAGUGACAGGUCAAAGACCCGCGCUCAACGCGGGGAAGGCAAGUCAGACUGCUCGGCUAGAGACAGCUAGAGGGACGCGGAAUUCGGGGUGUAGCGGUGAAAUGUGUAGAGAUCCCGAGGAACACCAGCGGUGAAGACGGCGUCCUGGGGCUGGGCUGACGCUGAUACGCGAAGGCGUGGGGAGCGAACGGG